rnacentral:Y_RNA from 1 species
GGCUGGGCUCAAGGUGGUGAGUUAUCUCAAUUGAUUGUUUACAGUCAGUUACAGAUCAAACUCCUUGUUCUACUCUUUCCCCCUUAUCACUACUGCACUUGACUAGUCUUAA